AGAGUUUGAUCCUGGCUCAGGAUGAACGCUGGCGAGAUGCUUUACACAUGCAAGUCAUACGAGAGUUUUUAACUCAAGUGGCGGACGGGUGAGUAACACGUAAGAAUUUGCCUUUAGGAGGGGGAUAACAACUGGAAAUGGUUGCUAAUACCCCAUAUGCUUUCGAGUGAAAUGGAUUUUUCCGCCUAGAGAGAAGCUUGCGCCUGAUUAGCUUGUUGGUAAGGUAAUGGCUUACCAAGGCGACGAUCAGUAUCUGGUUUGAGAGGACGAUCAGACACACUGGAACUGAGACACGGUCCAGACUCCUACGGGAGGCAGCAGUGGGGAAUUUUCCGCAAUGGGCGAAAGCCUGACGGAGCAAUCUCGCGUGAGGGAUGACGGCCUAUGGGUUGUAAACCUCUUUUUUCAGGGAGGAAUAAAAUGACGUGUACCUGAAGAAUAAGCAUCGGCUAACUCCGUGCCAGCAGCCGCGGUAAGACGGAGGAUGCAAGUGUUAUCCGGAAUCACUGGGCGUAAAGCGUCUGUAGGUGGUUUAGUAAGUCAACUGUUAAAUCUUGAAGCUUAACUUCAAAAUCGCAGUCGAAACUACUAGACUAGAGUAUAGUAGGGGUAAAGGGAAUUUCCAGUGGAGCGGUGA
rnacentral:rRNA from 1 species